GCCAGAGGGAGGAGCAGGCUCCUCGCUGAGCUGGGAGCUCGAUGCGGGGCUCAAUCCCAGGACCCCAGGAUCCUGACCUGAGCCCAAGACCAACACUUAAUGGACUGAGCCACCCAGGCGGCCCCAGGCUUGAUUUCUUACAAUAAUCUGGCAUUGAAGUAGUGGCCUGCCCCACCGAGGGGAGAAAGGGUGACUCUCUAUGUAGCCCCACCUGGUCUACUGAUUCUCCCUGGGAAAACAGCGACACUCUGCCUCCACUUCUCACACUGGGAGCUCUCCCUACACCAGGGCCCCUCUCCGGCUGGCCUGCCCAACCACACGACAAUCAGGCUUUUGGCCAGGCAGUUACAGGGCCGCCUUGUCCUGGCAACCACCAGGCCCAAGCUGCAAAGGGCAGCUGAAGCAGCAACUGAUGCUCAGAAGGAGAGGCUGACUCACUCCAGCCAGGCUGCACCCUCCGUGAAUAUUUUUGGACCUUAGCCUGGGAUUCCCGCAGGUUCUGACAACAAGUUGGACCAUCCUCUUGUAUGAGAUACGACUUAUCACCGGUUACUAGACGAGGAAACUGAGCCCAGGAGCCGACCCAGGUCCUUCCCUACACCCCGGAGAGGCCAUCUCGGGUGCCAGGUCACCGCCAGAGUGUCCGCAGCCUGUGGCCACAGCGCACCCCCUUCCAGGGCCCCUGCAGGUGCUGCCACCGGGCCUCUCCACCUCUCCACCUCUCCGGGGAUGGUCUUCCUAGGACCCUGCACGUGUCGGCUCGGCCUCUGUCCUCAUGUCCAAUGUCCCAUUGGCCUGCCCUUCUUGACUGUAAGCCCCCACCCAUGUGUCCUUAUGGUUCAAUGUCGGAUAGAUCCCCAGGGUCCAGUACAGGAUGGAUCCCCCCAAACGGUUAUUAAAUGCAAAUUGUUAAACUGUCA